AAUUGAGACUCUUUAUUAAUAUUAUUUUCUAAAAUAUAAUCAGUAAACGUAUAAUUAUCUGCUGAAGCUAAAAAAAUGAGCUCAACAAAACCAUCAUCAACAUGUUUAGGUGGUAAGAAAGCUAGACUAAAAAAAUAUUUUAAUCUAAGGCAUAUUUCUAUAUUAUUUGUUUACUUAAUAAAUAAUUAUUCGAUUGGAUUUUACGAUAACAGCG